UGUAGAUGCAGGUGUAGUUAUAGGUGUAGAUGCAGGUGUAGUUAUAGGUGUAGAUGCAGGCGUAAGUGUAGAUGCAGGUGUAGUUAUAGGUGUAGAUGCAGGUGUAAGUGUAGAUGCAGGUGUAGUUAUAGGUGUAGAUGCAGGUGUAAGUGUAGAUGCAGGUGUAGUUAUAGGUGUAGAUGCAGAUGUAGUUAUAGGUGUAGAUGCAGGUGUAAGUGUAGAUGCAGG